GGAUGGUCCGUAAGGUUUUGCCGUUCAAUUUCUCAGUUAGUCCGCCAUCCAUUUUGGAUGUUCCUAAACCGCACGUUUCUAUGCGAUAGUUAGCCGAUGGUUUUUAAAUGCAACUCUGAAUAAUUGUCACUCACAACGAAAAAAUGGUUAUUACUGCGAAAACGUAAACAAUGAUUGUGACAAAAUAAUCAAAAAACAACAACAAUCAUGCUCAAUGGUUUGGAUGCAUUCAAGGCUGACGAUGAGAUUGAAUGCGGCAUGGCCGAGUCUGCCAGGCUGAAGUUGCAAGUGUGUGGCGAAUAAAUGGCAGACGACUGCCAACAUAGAACAAAUAUUGGUAUGCUCUGUAAUUGCUUUGAUGUGCAUAAUUUAUUCUUUAAUAGUGAGUUUUUUUCGAACAUUAUCGAGUCGAAUCUGGACGGAUCAUGUAGCUCCAGCAGAAGAACCUUCACAGGAAGAAGGAAGAACAUGAUAUGAGGCAGGAAAAGAUAGCCUCAUCCACACGCAAAAAAAUUCCAGAAUGAUUUAUUGGAAAUCGUAUCUGUUCUGCUGACUGAUUAAAAUCACCAGAACUGUUGCUGUUAUCGGGCUGUUCGCAUAUUUUGCUGUUGAAACACGGCCGAAAUAAUUGCUACAUCUUCAUCAACCAAAAAUUAAUAAAUCUUCCGCGCAAAUUUAAUGCACUUGUUAUUGGCAUUAGCUGUUUUUGACGGAUGGUGGAUGGUGCCAGUGUGAAUCGGAGUUUUACAUCUGUCAAAAAAUCCCACCAUUCCCCCGGGAUGGACUCAGUGUGCAAAGCCUACUAGACUCCUUAUGAGUAUCGGAAUUUUGCGUAAGCGGGAACAUGUAUAAAAACGCGAAACCUGGCUCCCCCUGAAUAUAUUCAAGAAACUUUUUGAGCUUGUCUCAGAAAAACGGACAUAUCAGAAACUAUUAAAUGUUGUAUGUUGUAAUUGUAUUGUUGUAUGUUGCUAUAUACAUUUUUCACGAAUUCUGUUGUAAUUUAAAACUAUCAAGCUUUCAAAUA
rnacentral:sRNA from 15 species